UACGAAGGGGGCGAGCGUUGUUCGGAAUUACUGGGCGUAAAGGGCGCGUAGGCGGCCUUCUAAGUCGAACGUGAAAUCCCUGGGCUCAACCCAGGAACUGCGUCCGAUACUGGAAGGCUUGAAUCCGGGAGAGGGAUGCGGAAUUCCAGGUGUAGCGGUGAAAUGCGUAGAUAUCUGGAGGAACACCGGUGGCGAAGGCGGCAUCCUGGACCGGUAUUGACGCUGAGGCGCGAAAGCCAGGGGAGCAAACGGG
rnacentral:rRNA from 1 species